rnacentral:rRNA from 1 species
UGGUGGGUUGCCUUGUCAGGUUGAUUCCGGUAACGAACGAGACCUCAGCCUGCUAAAUAGUCACGGGUACCUUGGUACACGCCUGACUUCUUAGAGGGACUAUUGGCGUCUAGUCAAUGGAAGUGUGAGGCAAUAACA